rnacentral:rRNA from 1 species
AAACUUUGCAAUAGGCGAAAGCCUGACAGGGCUAUCCCGAGUGCCAUCCGCUGAGGAAGGCUUUUACCCAGUCUAGAACGCUGGGGGAAUAAGGAGAGGGCAAGUCUGGUGUCAGCCGCCGCGGUAAUACCAGCUCUUCGAGUGGUGUGGAUGUUUAUUGGGCCUAAAGCAUCCGUAGCUGGCUAAGUCAGUCCCUUGUUAAAUCCACCGAAUUAAUCGUUGGAUUGCGGGGGAUACUGCUUGGCUAGGGGACGAGAGAGGCAGACGGUAUCUUCGGGGUAGGGGUGAAAUCCUAUAAUCCCGGGAGGACCACCAGUGGCGAAGGCUGUCUGCUAGAACGCGCCCGACGGUGAGGGAUGAAAGCUGGGGGAGCGAACCGG